rnacentral:lncRNA from 1 species
GUUUGCGCCAACCUGGAGCCCGGAGGAGCCUCAGAGGGCCGGGUCUGGGCCGGGCCAGGGCCGGGCCGGGUCUGGGCCGGGCCAGGGCCGGGCCAGGGCCGAGUGUGGGCCAGGAGCCGGGCCAGGAAGGGAGGGAGGUGGCACCAGUGGGGGCCGGGCCCAGGCCCAGUCGGGAGCCGAAGCUCAGUUCAAGCUCCUCCCGACAAUCUGUCCCGGACUUAGGAGGAACGAGUUGGAGUCGGGUCCAGCCGCCAGUUUGGGAUUGGGCUGCCCCGCCCCCGAUAUCUCGGCUGGGCUGGUCCCUCAGGCCUCGGCCGCGGCUUUUCAGGUGCUGGAGACUCAGCGGAGCUGCAAGCGGACGGAUGUCUUCCCAGCACCCACCGCCCCCUUCCGCCCACCUCAGGCAUGCAGACAUGGGAGUCCCACUGUAUGUCGCAGACUGAGGCCCCAGCCCCACUGAGGGCAAAAGGCACAUCUUUGCUUUGGGCCUCUCCUAUUCUCCAAUAGGAUUUUCCAGCUGGAAUGGAAUUCACUAGGUCAUUCACAUCAUCUCCCUGCCCUGUGCCUAAAUCAUUCUAACUACUUGAGAAUGGAUGAUAUAUUGAGGGCAUUCUCAAGAAGAAGUCACAGUCCUACCUCUACCUCUACCUCUACCUCUACCCUCUUUCCACGGUCUCCCUCUGAUGCCGAGCCGAAGCUGGACUGUACUGCUGCCAUCUCGGCUUACUGCAACCUCCCUGCCUGAUUCUCCUAACUCAGCCUGCCGAGUGUCUGCGAUUGCAGGCGCGCGCCGCCACGCCUGACUGGUUUUCAUAUUUUUUUGGUGGAGACGGGGUUUCGCUGUGUUGGCCGGGCUGGUCUCCAGCUCCUAACCGCAAGUGAUCUGCCAGCCUCGGCCUCCCAAGGUGCCGGGAUUGCAGACGGAGUCUCGUUCACUCAGUGCUCAAUGUUGCCCAGGCUGGAGUGCAGUGGCGUGAUCUCGGCUAGCUACAACCUCCACCUCCCAGCCGCCUGCCUUGGCCCCCCAAAGUGCCGAGAUUGCAGCCUCUGCCCGGCCGCCACCCCGUCUGGGAAGUGAGGAGCGUCUCUGCCUGGCCGCCCAUCGUCUGGGAUGUGAGGAGCCCCUCUGCCCGGCCGCCCAGUCUGGGAAGUGAGGAGCCCCUCCGCCCGGCAGCCGCCCCGUCUGAGAAGUGAGGAGCCCCUCCACCCGGCAGCCGCCCCGUCUGAGAAGUGAGGAGCCCCUCCACCCGGCAGCCGCCCCAUCUGGGAAGUGAGGAGCGUCUCCGCCCGGCAGCCGCCCCGUCCGGGAGGGAGGUGGGGGGUCAGCCCCCGCCCGGCCAGCUGCCCCGUCCGGGAGGGAGGUGGGGGGUCAGCCCCUGCCCGGCCAGCCGCCCUGUCCGGGAGGGAGGUAGGGGGUCAGCACCCGCCCGGCCAGCCGCCCCGUCUGGGAGGUGGGGGGCGCCUCUGCCCGGCCGCCCCUUCUGGGAAGUGAGGAGCCCCUCUGCCCGGCCACCACCCCGUCUGGGAGGUGUACCCAACAGCUCAUUGAGAACGGGCCAUGAUGACGAUGGCGGUUUUGUGGAAUAGAAAAGGGUGAAAGGUGGGGAAAAGAUUGAGAAAUCAGAUUGUUGCUGUGUCUGUGUAGAAGGAGGUAGACAUGGGAGACUUCAUUUUGUUCUGUACUAAGAAAAAUUCUUCUGCCUUGGGAUGCUGUUGAACUAUGACCUUACCCCCAACCCUGUGCUCUCUGAAACAUGUGCUGUGUCCACUCAGGGUUAAAUGGAUUAAGGGCAGUGCAAGAUGUGCUUUGUUAAACAGAUGCUUGAAGGCAGCAUGCUUGUUAAGAAUCAUCACCACUCCCUAAUCUCAAGUACCCAGGGACACAAACACUGCGGAAGGCCGCAGGGUCCUCUGCCUAGGAAAACCAGAGACCUUUGUUCACUUGUUUAUCUGCUGACCUUCCCUCCACUAUUGUCCUAUGACCCUGCCAAAUCCCCCUCUCCAAGAAACACCCAAGAAUUAUCAAAAAAAAAAAAAAAAGAACAGAAAGAAAACCUCUGUGCUUUGGGCUUUACCACUUAUUGGGUUUGUGGCUUUUUGCAAGUUAUAUAACAUGUCUGUGGUGCAAUUAUCUCAUAUGUAAUCAUAAUUGUACUUCACACAAUUGUCAUAGAGAUUUUCUGAGAUAAAUGAUAAUAAUAAUUGCUAACACUUCCUGGGCACUUACUAUGUAUCUGCUGUGUUCUAACCCAUCAGGUGAGGCACUGUUUUCAUUUCAUAUAAAGGGAUUAACAUUGAAAAAAAAAAAAAAGAAGUCACAGUCUAAAUAAAAAGAUCAGUCAUUAUAUACAUCCAGAAAGAUAACUCCCCUGGUACCAGGUCAUCAGUAGACACUAACUGCUAAAGAGGCCAUAGGAGGGAAAGAUGAGGGGAGACCUAGGGGUGGGGCACGGUGGGGCUCAGGAUAGCUGAGGAAAGGCUAGUAGUGUAUGUACUUUGUGUACCUGCAUUCUCAGACCCUGGCCCCCCUCUUUAAGAGCGACUUCUCUGGCUCUAAGACAGCCACAGACCUAGGGCCUGAGGAACCCGAAGACCCUUGCACAGUAAGUUUCUAGACAGCAAGAGCUCGAAGAAUGAAACAUUGCUGGGCCUUAAAUCUAGAAUCAGGUAUCAGUAGCUGAGCUGGAGUAGAGUAACUAGUAUGCUCUGUCCCAAGGGCCAUGUUUCAAGUCCAACUUGCUGAUCUUGCAGAUGAGGAAAGCCAGUUAAAGGGCAAGAAAAAAUCAUUCAAAUGGAUCGGGGCAAGGGGGCAAGGGGCAGGGGCAAGAGAGUUGGGUGGAGUGGAAGGACAAGGAGGAGGCAGUUUAUUUUUCUCCUUCAGUAUAUAUUUACAAAGUUCCUUCUGUGCUACAAAGUUCCUUCUGUGCCUAAUUAAACUGAGUUUUUCCAGGGCCUCUUUUUGGAUGCAGGAGGGGACAAAGGAAGAAGAGUGCAUUUUGUUGAAACCUAGAGAUAUUAAUUGACUCACCCAAGGACAUACUGUGAAUGGGACCAGAACCUUUGUCUCCUUACCUCCUAACUGCCUACAUUUCUCCAUGCCAUACUACCUCCUAUUAUGUCAUACACAGCUUAAAAAUCUAAGAUGAUUCUUCACUGUUGAAAGGGUAAAGUCCAAACUCUUGUGCCACCUUGGGCCCCUAAUUAUCCUGACACUGUUAAACUCUCCAAUUGGUUCCUAGACUACCUCCUACAAUGAGAUUUAAGCCCAAGUCUCACAGAGUUCUCUCCCACGUCACUGUCCCCAAGUGCUCUUGGUCUUCUUUUUCUUAACUGCUCCCUCUGCCCCUGCAACAAAUUAAAAGAAUUUUACAGUGAUCACUCAUAUACUCACCACUGGAUUCUACCAUUAACAAUUUCCUGGCUGGGCGCGGUGGCUCACGCCUGUAAUCCCAGCACUGUGGGAGGCCGAGGUCAGCAGAUCACCUGAGGUCAGGCGUUCGAGACCAGCCUGGCCAAGAUGGUGAAUCCCCUCCUCUACUAAAAAAUACAAAAAGUAGCAGGGCAUGGUGGCACAUGCCUGUAAUCCCAGCUACUUGGGAGGCUGAGGCAGGAGAAUCACUUGAACCCGGGAGGCGGAGGUUGCAGUGAGCCAAGAUCAUGUCAUUGCACUCCAGCCUGGGUGACAGAACAAGACUCCUUCUCAAUUAAAAACAAAGAAACAAACAAACAAAAAAACUAUUUCCAAUAUUUGCUUUAUCACAUAUCUGUCCAUCUAUCCACCUUUCCAUUGAUCGAGCCACUUAUUUUUAUACAUUUCAAAGUAAGUUGAAGAUAUCAGCACACAUCCCUCCCCCAAUACUUAUGUAUUUUUUUUUACUGUGAAUAUAUAUUUUAUUUAGUCAUUUUUUGUUUACAAUUGAAACUCUGGGAAUUCAAAAUUAACAUCCUUGCCCAUGAGCUUCUUAUAGACACCAGAAAAGGGUUCAACCUUGUGUUCCACAUUGUUCUGCUGUGCUUCGUCCAAAUGAAUCUUUAUGAGGUGGCUGCCAUCCAGUUUCACGUGGAUUCUCUUGCCCACAAUUUCGCUUGGGAAGACCAAGUCCUCAAGGAUGGCAUCAUGCACAGCUGUGAGAGUACAGCUCCUGGGAAGCUUUUGCUUAUUGUUUGUACAGCUUUUUUGAGUUGGCUUAGGCAGAAUUCUCCUCUGAGCGAUAAAGAAAAUAUGCUUCACUGAACUUUUUCUUCAAUUCGCGUACUAGCUGGACUUGGGUUUUCUGGAAAGAUUUCAGUUGAGGAACGGGAACAAAGAUUAUGAUAGCUUUCCGACCACCACCAACUUCAAUUUCCUUGGCUGCCGUAAUAUUCAGCUCCCAGAGCUGAGCCUUGAGGUCCAAGUUCAUCUCCAGCUCCAGAAGAGCCUGGGAGAUUCCGGAUUCAAACUCAUCCGGCUUCUCGCCAUUGGGCUUCACGAUCUUGGCCCUUGAACUGAACAUGGUCUUCUCCUUGCUGAGCGCUGGCGUAGGAAGAGUGCAUGUAUAUUAUUAACUAGAGUUCCAUUUUUUGUAAUUGUUUUCUUUUGAGCUAAAAUUUACAUACAAUGAAAUACAAAAUCUUUUUUUUUUUUUUUUUUUUUUUUUUGAGACAGAGUUUUGCUCUGCUGCCCAGGCUGGAGUGCAGUGGCACUAUCUCUGCUCACUGCAACCUCCGCCUCCUGGGUUCAAGCAAUUCUCCUGCCUCAGCUUCCUGAGUAGCUGGGAUUACAGGCGCACGCUGCCACGCCUGGCUAAUGUUUGUAUUUUCAGUAGAGAUGGGGUUUUGCCAUGUUGGCCAGGCUGGUCUCAAACUGCAGAUCUCAGGUGAUCUGCCCACCUUGGCCUCCCAAAGUGCUGGGAUUACAGGCAUAAGCCACCGCGCCUGGCCUGAAAUACACAGUCUUAAGGGAAUAUUUGCUGAAUUUUGACAAAGGCAUACACCUGUAUAACCCAAACCCCUGUCAAGAUAUUAAACACUACCAUCAUUCUCAGAAACUUCUCUCAUGCCCCUUCUCAGUCAAAUUCACCCUCACCUCAUCCUACAAAGAGAACCACUACGGAUUAGUUGUGUAUGUUCCAUAUAAAUGGAAUCAUACAGUAGGUAGGUAGCAUUUUGAGUCUGGGAUCCUUCACAGCAUAAUGUUUUUGAGAUUCAUCCAUGUUGUGCUGAAUACAAUUCCAUUGUAUUUGUUUAUCCAUUCACCAGCUGAUGGACGUUUGGGUUGUUUCUAGUUUGGGCCUAUUAAAAAUAAAGCUGCUAAGAACAUUUAUGUGCAAGUCUUUUAAUGGACAUAUUUUCAUUUCUUUUGGGUAAAUACCCAAAACUGGAACUGUCAGGUCAUAGGUUAAGGUGUAUGUUUAACUACAUAAGAAACUGCCAGAAAUGAUUCAAAAGAUGUUCCACUUCACACUCCCACCAGCAAUACAUAAGCGUUCUAGUUAC